rnacentral:rRNA from 1 species
AACGAACGCUGGCGGCAUGCCUAACACAUGCAAGUCGAACGAGAUCUUCGGGUCUAGUGGCGCACGGGUGCGUAACGCGUGGGAAUCUGCCCUUUGGUUCGGAAUAACAGUUGGAAACGACUGCUAAUCCCGGAUGAUGACGAAAGUCCAAAGAUUUAUCGCCAGAGGAUGAGCCCGCGUAGGAUAAGCUAGUUGGGGUGGUAAAGGCGCACCAAGGCGACGAUCCUUAGCUGGUCUGAGAGGAUGAUCAGCCACACUGGGACUGAGACACGGCCCAGACUCCUACGGGAGGCAGCAGUGGGGAAUAUUGGACAAUGGGCGAAAGCCUGAUCCAGCAAUGCCGCGUGAGUGAUGAAGGCCUUAGGGUUGUAAAGCUCUUUUACCCGGGAUGAUAAUGACAGUACCGGGAGAAUAAGCUCCGGCUAACUCCGUGCCAGCCGCCGCGGUAA